rnacentral:rRNA from 1 species
AUUGAACGCUGGCGGCAUGCCUUACACAUGCAAGUCGAACGGCAGCACGGGAGCACUCCUGGUGGCGAGUGGCGAACGGGUGAGUAAAGCAUCGGAACGUGCCCAGUCGUGGGGGAUAACGUAGCGAAAGCUACGCUAAUACCGCAUACGAUCUGUGGAUGAAAGCGGGGGACCGUAAGGCCUCGCGCGAUUGGAGCGGCCGAUGUCAGAUUAGGUAGUUGGUGGGGUAAAGGCUCACCAAGCCGACGAUCUGUAGCUGGUCUGAGAGGACGACCAGGCACACUGGGACUGAGGCACGGCCCAGACUCCUACGGGUGGCAGCAGUGGGGAAUUUUGGACAAUGGGCGCAAGCCUGAUCCAGCAAUGCCGCGUGCAGGAUGAAGGCCUUCGGGUUGUAAACUGCUUUUGUACGGAGCGAAACGGCUUCCACUAAUACUGGGGGCUAAUGACGGUACCGUAAGAAUAAGCACCGGCUAACUACGUGCCAGCCGCCGCAGUAACAC